rnacentral:rRNA from 1 species
CAGCAGUGGGGAAUAUUGCACAAUGGGGGAAACCCUGAUGCAGCGACGCCGCGUGGAGGAAGAAGGUCUUCGGAUUGUAAACUCCUGUUGUUGAGGAAGAUAAUGACGGUACUCAACAAGGAAGUGACGGCUAACUACGUGCCAGCAGCCGCGGUAAAACGUAGGUCACAAGCGUUGUCCGGAAUUACUGGGUGUAAAGGGAGCGCAGGCGGGAAGACAAGUUGGAAGUGAAAUCCAUGGGCUCAACCCAUGAACUGCUUUCAAAACUGUUUUUCUUGAGUAGUGCAGAGGUAGGCGGAAUUCCCGGUGUAGCGGUGGAAUGCGUAGAUAUCGGGAGGAACACCAGUGGCGAAGGCGGCCUACUGGGCACCAACUGACGCUGAGGCUCGAAAGUGUGGGUAGCAAACAGGAUUAGAUACCCUGGUAGUCCACACUGUAAACGAUGAUUACUAGGUGUUGGAGGAUUGACCCCUUCAGUGCCGCAGUUAACACAAUAAGUAAUCCACCUGGGGAGUACGACCGCAAGGUUGAAACUCAAAGGAAUUGACGGGGGCCCGCACAAGCAGUGGAGUAUGUGGUUUAAUUCGACGCAACGCGAAGAACCUUACCAAGUCUUGACAUCCUGCGACGCACAUAGAAAUAUGUGUUUCCUUCGGGACGCAGAGACAGGUGGUGCAUGGUUGUCGUCAGCUCGUGUCGUGAGAUGUUGGGUUAAGUCCCGCAACGAGCGCAACCCUUAUGGUCAGUUACUACGCAAGAGGACUCUGGCCAGACUGCCGUUGACAAAACGGAGGAAGGUGGGGAUGACGUCAAAUCAUCAUGCCCUUUAUGACUUGGGCUACACACGUACUACAAUGGCGUUAAACAAAGAGAAGCAAGACCGCGAGGUGGAGCAAAACUCAAAAACAACGUCUCAGUUCAGAUUGCAGGCUGCAACUCGCCUGCAUGAAGUCGGAAUUGCUAGUAAUCGCGGAUCAGCAUGCCGCGGUGAAUACGUUCCCGGGCCUUGUACACACCGCCCGUCACACCAUGAGAGUCGGGAACACCCGAAGCCCGUAGCCUAACCAGCAAUGGAGGGCGCGGUCGAAGGUGGGUUCGAUAAUUGGGGUGAAGUCGUAACAAGGUAGCCGUUCGAGAACGAGCGGCUG